CUACGGGUUGCACCAGUGAGGAAUAUUGCACAAUGGGGGGAACCCUGAUGCGGCAACGCCGCGUGGAGGAUGACGCAUUUCGGUGUGUAAACUCCUUUUAUAUGUCAAGAAAAUGACGGUAGCAUAUGAAUAAGCACCGGCUAACUUCGUGCCAGCAGCCGCGGUAAUACGGAGGGUGCAAGCGUUACUCGGAAUCACUGGGCGUAAAGGACGCGUAGGCGGGUUGGAAAGUCAGGUGUGAAAUCCUACAGCUUAACUGUAGAACUGCACUUGAAACUUCUAAUCUAGAGUAUGGGAGGGGGAGAUGGAAUUAGUGGUGUAGGGGUAAAAUCCGUAGAUAUCACUAGGAAUACCUAAAGCGAAGGCGAUCUCCUGGAACAUUACUGACGCUAAGGCGUGAAAGCGUGGGGAGCAAACAGGAUUAGAUACCCUUGUAGUC
rnacentral:rRNA from 1 species